rnacentral:rRNA from 1 species
ACGUAUGGUGCAAGCGUUAUCCGGAUUUACUGGGUGUAAAGGGAGCGCAGGCGGUGCGGCAAGUCUGAUGUGAAAGCCCGGGGCUCAACCCCGGUACUGCAUUGGAAACUGUCGUACUAGAGUGUCGGAGGGGUAAGCGGAAUUCCUAGUGUAGCGGUGAAAUGCGUAGAUAUUAGGAGGAACACCGGUGGCGAAGGCGGCUUACUGGACGAUAACUGACGCUGAGGCUCGAAAGCGUGGGGAGCAAACAG